UACGGAGGGGGCAAGCGUUGUCCGGAUUUAUUGGGCGUAAAGAGCUCGUAGGUGGCUUAGUAAGUCGGGUGUGAAACCUCCAGGCUCAACCUGGAGACGCCACCCGAUACUGCUAUAGCUUGAGUCCGGUAGGGGAGCGUGGAAUUCCUGGUGUAGCGGUGAAAUGCGCAGAUAUCGGGAGGAACACCAGUGGCGAAGGCGGAACUCUGGGCCGGAACUGACGCUGAGGAGCGAAAGCGUGGGGAGCGAACGAGG
rnacentral:rRNA from 1 species